UUUUCCCUCUUCAGUAGAGACUACGAUAAGAGAUAAAUGAAAUACUUACAAGCACCCAUGGAAAAAAGCAGAAGCAAGAGUCAUGUGUACACAUAAGUACCCCAGUUAUAUUUAAAUGUAAAAUCCUUUAGCAAGCCAGCAGUACUGUAUGUGUAU